AACGAACGCUGGCGGCAUGCCUAACACAUGCAAGUCGAACGAGACCUUCGGGUCUAGUGGCGCACGGGUGCGUAACGCGUGGGAACCUGCCCUUAGGUUCGGAAUAACUCCCCGAAAGGGGUGCUAAUACCGGGUAAUGUCUUCGGACCAAAGAUUUAUCGCCUUUGGAUGGGCCCGCGUUGGAUUAGCUAGUUGGUAGGGUAAAAGCCUACCAAGGCGACGAUCCAUAGCUGGUCUGAGAGGAUGAUCAGCCACACUGGGACUGAGACACGGCCCAGACUCCUACGGGAGGCAGCAGUGGGGAAUAUUGGACAAUGGGUGAAAGCCUGAUCCAGCAAUGCCGCGUGAGUGAUGAAGGCCUUAGGGUUGUAAAGCUCUUUUACCCGGGAUGAUAAUGACAGUACCGGGAGAAUAAGCUCCGGCUAACUCCGUG
rnacentral:rRNA from 1 species